rnacentral:misc_RNA from 1 species
UUUCCGUAGGUGAACCCGCGGAAGGAUCAUUCAUAAUAAGUGUUUUAUGGCACUUUUUUAAAUCCAUAUCCACCUUCCGUGCAAUGUCAGGGUUGAUUUUUCUCUCGAGAGGAUCAACCCCAAACAUCAACUAUAUCUCAACUCUUUGUCUGAAAAAUAUUAUGAAUAAAACAAUACAAAAUACAACUUUCAACAACGGAUCUCUUGGCUCUC